GUGGAUUAGAUACCCUGGUAGUCCGCACUGUAAACGAUGUAUACUGGGUGUCCGCCGCAAGGUGGGCGCCGCAGCCAACGCGCUAAGUAUACCGCCUGGGGAGUACGUUCGCAAGAAUGAAACUCAAAGGAAUUGACGGGGGCCCGCACAAGCGGUGGAGCAUGUGGUUUAAUUCGAAGCAACGCGCAGAACCUUACCAGGGUUUGACAUGGGAUCGCCGCAGCGAGAGAUCGCUGUUUGCCAGCAAUGGCACGGUCCGCACAGGUGCUGCAUGGCCGUCGUCAGCU
rnacentral:rRNA from 1 species